GAUGUGGAAGCUCUUUGGAAACCAAGAAACACUCUGCAAAUGAAAAGGGUGGAAGAGUAAACUGUUCCCGUUUCUCCAAAUUGACAGGAAGCAGAAGUUCUCCUUAGCUGAUUUUUCUUCUUGCCUUAUACUGGGUUCUUUAACACCAGAACAAAAAUAAAUAAAUAAAAGAAUCUUCCAGAAAUUCAUGAAGAGACUUCAGGUCAGGAAAGCCUGAACUUUCUCAUCUAACACCUGUUCAAGUCGGAGGAUGCUGAUUAAUUCAUGAUGGAAAGGUAUCAAUUUCACAGCCCAGACUUCUACAUUCUUGAAAUGCUGUUCUCAUGGGAGACAUUAAAUAAGCUUUGAAAUAACUGAAGAACCAAUGAUGUGAUCCCUGGAUACUGGCAAUUGUUGCCCAAGAAACCCUCUCCCCUUGCUAUGGGACUGCUGGGCACCCAAAUAAUGCACCCAAAUAAUUUGAUAGCUCUUGUUACACAGCUCUUUUUGGACUAAAAGGCCCUCAGCAUUCCUGGCAAUUUCUACACUCCUGAAGCUUCAUCUGGAGACGUCUGUGGAUUCUAUAACUCAAAGACCCAGGCUGAUGGCUGGUGGAAUAGCUACCAUCUCAAACAUGGCGUGAUGCUGCAUCAGAGGGAAAAAUAAGCUCUUGCACUGGCAAUGAAAUGUCUACCCUGUAGUGACUUGUGCUUACUUCCACUCACAAAUGAUUGCCCAGAGCUACUUACCUGGCUCCAAUCUACCACUGGGUGUGUACGUGCAAUCUACUGUGUACCUAGAAGAUGAGAGGAACAAAUUAUUAAUGAUGACCACACCCCAAGACUAACAAUAAUUGCAGAAGAAUCAAUGACUUAAACAAAAAUAUGGCCAUUGAAGGAAUA
rnacentral:antisense_RNA from 1 species